ACAGAGAAACCCGUCUCAAAAAAAGGGGGGGGGGACUGCAACCUCAGCAAGAGACUCUUUUUUUCAUGCAAAAUUGGACAAAACAGUGCCAGAGGAGUUUAUGUGACUAAACUGCAUAUUUAAGCAAUUACAAAUUGUAUCCUAUUUUUCUAGAGUUUGCCCCCGCUCCGGAGUGACAAGCCUGCUUACUAGCAAUUCCUGGUUGCCAGGAUAUGCUUGACAUGAUGAUGGUUUUGUACCGCUGCUGUCGGUGGGAAUGCCGCUACAUGCCAUGGUUGCUGUUAACUAGCUAGAUUACAAAAGAACCUCAGUCAGUUCUCUGUAUCCACAGGUUUGCUGCUGGGAGUGAGGAGAGUGAAGUCUGAGGAGUUCAGGACUGGGUCAGCGCUGCUCUGACAGCCUGGUGAAGGAGCACUUGCUGUCUCAGACCUCGCUUCUGUUGGCAGUUCUAGAGUGCACUCAGGAGCCAGGCGUGAAUAGAGCAAUUGGCUAUGCCUAGAACUCCAUUGACUCCGGCAGACCCUUGCUGUGAGUCACCUUGUGACAGUGAGGCAAAUCAUGACCGGGAUGAUUGAGUAGCUGUUAUUAAUACAAUCUUUAUUCUUAUUAAUAAGCAGCCUGUAUGCAUAGCACUUACAAGGGGCCGAACCCUGACAUAAAUAAACACCUGUAACUGAACUGUGGCUACCUAUGCUUGACAACUCAGCUCAGUGGAGAAGAAACUUAUCUCGGUAUAAUCCAGCCAGUCAUUGGUAGAACCUGGGCUCACAUGUGUGUCACACCACGGCCUAAGUUCUUAAUCAUAUCCACAAGUCAGUCCCUGGCCUACAAAAGUAAGGCCAGGAAAUAACCUAACUGUCCUAGUUAGUUUUUUAUCUUGACAUAAGCUAGAGAGUCAGCUGAGGAAUUGCUUAGACAUUGUUGGUCUGCGAGCACGUCUGUGGGAGAUUGUCUUGAUUGUUAAUUGAAUAGGGAGGGCCCAGCCCACUGUGGGAGGCACCAUUCCCUGGGCAGGUGAGCCUGUGCUGGAGAAGAGAGCUGGAUAAGCAUGAGUCCAGCAGCAUACCUUCAUGGUUUCUGCUUGAGUGGCUGCCCUGACUUCCUUGAGACGGACUGUUACCUGAAAGGGAAGCUGAAUCAAACCCUUCCUUCUCCGGCUUGCUUUCGGUCACUGCCACAGCAACAGAUACCAGAUAAGAACACCAGCAAUGGUAGUUCAAGGAUGUUUGCCAAUUAAAUUCACGGGGAAGCAGAUCUACAACUCCCGUGGAAUGUCCAGUGUCCAGAAGGAAGAAGCAGAGACUGGGGUGCUAAUUGCUCAAACACUGAGAUGCCAGCCAUCCUAAUGAGAAGACUAAAGCUUUGCAGAAUGAUAGGUGGCGGAAAACAAACAGCCAGUGUUCCUCAUGCCGAGCCGUUAACCACCUAGACAUGAAUCUUAGGGUACGUUCCCCUAAGCUGACAGAAAGGAAAUAGAUGGGUCCCCUGCUAUAUCAAAGAUGUGGAGACAGAUGAGAAUAAUCAACUUGUAAAAUCAGCCAUUAAAUAAUUUUCUACUCAUUCGAACAGACACUAAAGAAAACCAAGUAGUAA